AGCCGCCGCGGUAAUACCAGCAGUUCAAGUUGCAUCCCUUUUUAUUGGGUCUAAAACAUCCGUAGCUUGCCAUUUAAGUCUCUUGUGAAAUCUCGCGUCUCAAGCGCGAUGAAGUGCGGGGGAUACUGAAUGGUUAGAGAUCGGUAGACGUAAGCAGUACGCCACGGGUAACGGUCAAAUGUGUUAAUCCGUGGUGGACUAACAAUGAGCGAAGGCAGCUUACGAGGACGAAUCUGACAGUGAGGGAUGAAGGCCAGGGGCGCAAAACGGAUUAGAUACCCGUGUAGUCCUGGCAGUAAACACUGUUCACUAAACAUCGGGCCCUCUUCGGGAGGAUUCGGUGCUGAAGGGAAGCCGAAGAGUGAACUACCUGGGAAGUAUAGUCGCAAGAUCGAAACUUAAAGGAAUUGGCGGGGAGACAUACAACGAGUGACGCGUGCGGUUCAAUCAGAUUUUACACCGUGAACCUCACCAGGAGCGACAGCAGGAUGAAGGUCAGUCUGAAGGGCUUACCUGACACGCUGAGCGGAGAUACAAAGCCGACGUCAGCCUGUGCUGUGAAGUGACCUGUUAAAUCAGGUAACAGGCGAGACCCGUGUCAUUAAUUACUACAGAAAUGGGUACAUUAAUGAGAUUGCCUUGGUAACAAGGAUGAAAGUGCGGGCUACGUUAGGUGGCUUGUCCCUAAUCCCCUGGGCUACACGCGCGCGGCAAUGGUAUGUUCAAAUGGAUGCAACUCCGAAAGGAGAAGCUAAUCCCCUAACGCAUAUCUCAGUCCAGAUAGAGGGUUGCAACCCACCCUCUUGACGAUGGAAUUCGUAGUAAUCGGAUAUUAGCACUGUCCGGUGAAUAAGUCCCUGUCUCU
rnacentral:rRNA from 1 species